rnacentral:rRNA from 1 species
GUAGCAAUACCUAGUGGCGCACGGGUGAGUAACGCGUGGAUAAUCUGCCUUCGAGUGGGGGAUAACUAGUCGAAAGAUUAGCUAAUACCGCAUAAGACCACAGGAUCCGAGGAUCUAGGGGUUAAAGGUUUUUCGCUUGAAGAUGAGUCCGCGUGAGAUUAGCUAGUUGGUGAGGUAAUGGCUCACCAAGGCAUUGAUCUCUAACUGGUCUGAGAGGAUGAUCAGUCACACUGGAACUGAGACACGGUCCAGACUCCUACGGGAGGCAGCAGUAGGGAAUAUUGCGCAAUGGAGGAAACUCUGACGCAGCGACGCCGCGUGAGCGAUGAAGGCCUUCGGGUUGUAAAGCUCUGUCGCAGGGGAAUAAGAAAGUGAAUGUACUCUGCAAGAAAGGAUCGGCUAACUUCGUGCCAGCAGCCGCGGUAAGACGAGGGAUCCUAGCGUUGUUCGGAAUCAUUGGGCGUAAAGCGGGUGUAGGUGGCUUGGUAAGUCAGGUGUGAAAUCCCAGGGCUUAACCCUGGAAGUGCAUUUGAUACUGCUGAGCUUGAGUGUAGGAGAGGUUACUAGAAUUCUUGGUGUAGUGGUGAAAUACGUAGAUAUCAAGAGGAAUACCUGAGGCGAAGGCGGGUAACUGGCCUAACACUGACACUCAGACCCGAAAGCGUGGGGAUCAAACAGGAUUAGAUACCCUGGUAGUCCACGCCGUAAACGAUGGAUACUUGUUGUUGGAGGUAUUGACCCCUUCAGUGACGAAGCUAACGCGUUAAGUAUCCCGCCUGGGGAGUACGGUCGCAAGAUUAAAACUCAAAGAAAUUGACGGGGGCCCGCACAAGCGGUGGANCAUGUGGUUUAAUUCGAUGCANCGCNANANCNUUACCUGGGCUUGACAUGUACUGGAANA